rnacentral:rRNA from 1 species
CUACGGGCGGCAGCAGUGAGGAAUAUUGCACAAUGGGGGGAACCCUGAUGCAGCAACGCCGCGUGGAGGAUGACGCAUUUCGGUGUGUAGACUCCUUUUAUAUGUCAAGAAAAUGACGGUAGCAUAUGAAUAAGCACCGGCUAACUCCGUGCCAGCAGCCGCGGUAAUACGGAGGGUGCAAGCGUUACUCGGAAUCACUGGGCGUAAAGGACGCGUAGGCGGGCUUGUAAGUCAGGUGUGAAAUCCUACAGCUUAACUGUAGAACUGCACUUGAAACUACGAGCCUAGAGUAUGGGAGGGGCAGAUGGAAUUAGUGGUGUAGGGGUAAAAUCCGUAGAUAUCACUAGGAAUACCUAAAGCGAAGGCGAUCUGCUGGAACAUAACUGACGCUAAGGCGUGAAAGCGUGGGGAGCAAACAGGAUUAGAUACCCGGGUAGUC